GGAAGGUUCCUAUUCCUCAGUUUCUGAAUAUCCCUCCUAAGUCUUACCAUAUGAUCAGAUACAUGGACUCAAACACUGCAGGUUCAUGUCGGGGGGUCACAGCAAAAAACAUCCUGGUUUGACCUGAAAAACCAGUUGGUGGAUGAGUCCCGUGAAAAAGCUCCCAUGAGCUGUCACCAGGACAACCCUAGAUAAACAACAGCACACAACAAAGACCUCAUAAACGAGGGACACACUGGAGAGGAACUUUAGAUAGAAGUUCUCUUGAAGCUGAUUGCAAAAUGAGAUUAAAAUCUAGUAAAGCAUCACCUUACAAGCAUUGAUACGUGGGUUAUAAGUGUAUUCAAGCGUCUAACUAUUGUGUGAGAGGAAGGCACUUAAUAAUGCCUUCAGGUACCAAAAAGUCAAGAUCUCAAAGUUCCAAGCCUGCAGCAAAGAGCAAAAGAAAGCACUCUUCCAAGAAGAGGUCUGUCAGUGCCAAAUCCACAAAGACAGAUGUGGAUAUUCUGAGUCCAGCUGCCAUGGAGAACGUCUACUACAUCUCCCAUAAUGCAGUGGACUGCUUGGAGUUCAGAGGGUUUGGCUGGACUGGAGCCACCAAGAAGAAAGGAAAAAAGGGCAAAAAACAAAAGAUCAAAAAAUGAAGACUAAAUUUGUGCCAAUUUAAACUUAAAUAUAAAUGUGCAUGCUUACUUAAAUGGAUAAAUUAUUAAGGUUAGUUAAGAUGGAUAUUUAAGUUAUCUCAACAAAUUGUAAGUUGUCAGGUAACUGCAGCAACAUUCUUUUGUUAGUUUUACUAUAUAUAUAUAUAUUUAAUUUGCCUACCUGUAAAUAUAGCAAACAACAAAUGUUUCAUAUAAACUUUCUCACUUCUUUAAACUGUCAUGAUGCAUUUCAAAGCAGCCACAUUUUAUUAAUUUUAGCCAAAAAUGGAUUUUGAAAAAUGUUACAUUUAUAUCAGCUGAUUCUUUAUUUGUGGUUAUUUAUCCUAUCAUAUAAGACUUGUUACAACCCAAUAAAAUAUCAGUUCCUUCAGAUUGGAUUUCUGAAACUCUAUAAAAGGAGUUGACAAUAAACUAAACUUAAAUGCAGGGUUUUGUCAUUUAAAACAACAUUUUGGAAGUAAAACAAUGAUGUUGGGAUGUGGGUGCACUGUAAGAUCACCAGAGGGCAGUAAACCAUACAUAUGCUUCAUACUUUGUCACAUAAUAAUAAAAAUAUCACCACCAUUCAGUCAAUUAGUUCUGAACUUUAUUUGUAAUUUACUACAGUAGGUGUUCGAAGCUUACAAGUACAUUCAAAGAGGCAAAUGAACAUUAGUUGAAACACCAAAGAAAUUAAAAAUUCAUUGCUCCACUCAACAUAUGCAUGACCUUUAACAGUUAAGAGUGCUUGACUAAAGUUGGGCUUUGUUAGAAGUGUAUCAGAGUGAUUUUCCAAACACACACGCGCGCACACACACACACACACACACACACACACACCUUUA